AUUAACUUGUUUUGUAGCAACAUCUUUCCAAAAAAUAUACUAAUGCAUAGUAAAUCUAUACCAUAAAAGGUAACCCCACUACCAAGAUCAUAUCAUGUAAAAAAAUCAGGUGGGUUUGAUCAUCAAGUGUCAUCUCACACACAUUAGAAUCAAUGAACAACUGAUAGACUGACUAAACAUUCAUUCAUGUUCUAAUAUUGAUGAGUCCAUCAGCCAUAUUUUAAUUAGAUAGGUGAUCUUUAUGGUGGGACCUAUCAUUUUCAUGGUAUAGAUUUUCUUCACAUGUGCAAUGUUGGCAAUAAAAAUAAUGUUGCAUAAGUUAUCAUAUUACAGACUACCUAGCCGGGACGAGACUGAUAUUGAUAGUGAUGAAAUAAAAAUUUGAGAGAGCAAACCUUUAUGCACACACCAAGCUUGCGACUGCAGAUGCAGCAAAUUAGCAGGUUUCUUUCCCUAGUAACAGCCUCCUGAUAGAGAAGCAUUAAAUACAGUUAAGGACUUCACAUGAGAACAACAGUGUACAAAGUAAACAACUCAGAUAGGUUGUAAGCUCAGUGCAUCGUGCUAGACCGUUUAGCCAACACAGAACCAUGAAAGAAACAUUCAUAUCAACAAUUCUAAACAAACACAUACCAUGAUGAGCAGCAACAAUCUCGUCAUGUGCAUCUUUCCUGAAAGUUGAAACCCUUGAAGAAGUAGCAGCAGCAGCAGUUGCAGCAGCAAGCACAGCCUGAGCUUCUCUGUGCCUUCUCUCUUUCCUACCCUGUUUCUUUGCUUCCUUGACCUCAUAGAGGAACUGUUUGGCAAGUACUGCAUCGCAUCUUUGUUUCCUCAGUUGCAUCUAAUGGCUUUUGGGAGAUCAUUUAAUGUCUGUGUUGGCCAAACGGUGAGUUGUGUACUUUUCAUUCAUUUUCUGAGAGACAUUUUUAGAAUGCUUAAUGGUUAAUUACAAGAGUUUUCCUAUAAAACGUAUUAGUAAUGGCUUCUUCUACUACCAUCUGAGGACCUCAAAGGCCCAACUAACUUGAGAUUUUUAUAUGCAGGCCGAUGUAUUUUUAGCCCCACAGAUCAAUGUUGCCACUGCAAGGUUCAAUAUUGAAAUGUGAUUAUCAGAAGCAGUGGGCCAUCAUUGAAAGAUUACCCUUGUAGUGAGUCCAGGAAAUAGUGGCGGCAGGUGGAGAAGAACAGAGUGUGUGCUAUGUUAGACCGAAUGGCUUUUGGGAGAUCAUUUAAUGUCUGUUGCUGUUUCAGUCCUGUUUUGAACCUUAGAUAUAUGUGGGACAGCAUUUGAUCCUCUAUGCGCCAUGGCGACUGAUUUCGAGCUGCGAAUUCAAAAGCAGCUCGAACAGUGUCCCUCUAUGAAGAAGAAAAAGAAAAAAAGAAAAAGCCAAGCAAAACAAAAGCAAUACCAGUCAGCAGCAACAUAGAUAUCCAAACAAGGCAAAGGAUGGGCCACACAAUGAAGAUCGUGUUCCUUGAAAAUCAGUCCAUUCAGAAUAUUCAGGGGAACCCCACUUAAAAACAGUUAAAACUGUGAGUUACUGCUACAGAUUCUCCAACUCAUGUGCAAAGUCGCCAGGGACUUGGAUUGGCACCAUCUUCUGACUUUUAUAAACAUCUUAGCCUCUUCUACUUGGGUUCCUCUUCUUAUUCACUUCUAUAGAUAUGUAUUAGUUUCUCUCUGUUAUAAUUUGGGAUUGGAUUUUAUUUUUUUUUUCCCCUUCAUUUGGUGCAUCAUAUGCAGAUAUUGGAAGGACUUCUUAAAUUGCCAGAGAACAGGGAAUGUGCUGACUGCAAAAUCAAAGGUCCGCGAUGGGCAAGUGUCAAUGUGGGAAUCUUCAUCUGCAUGCAGUGUUCUGGAAUCCACAGAAGUCUAGGAGUACACAUUUCAAAGUUCUUCCUUCAAUUUACUGAAGCUUCUUCCAGUGAAGGGAACACCAUCCUUAAUGCUUGGUAACUUAGCCCCUUAGGAGCUCCUAACAUUGAAAUCACCCUCCUUGGUAGCUAAACCUCUUUUCAGGUCUUCUAUAUAGGUUAUUGAUUUUUGAGCUUGUACCAUUUCUUGCUUCUUCCACUAGUGCCGUCAGCUACACCUAUGCAAUUAAAGCAAGGCCUAAAUGUUGUUUAGGGAGUAAAGCUUCCAUGAAUGACUGAUUCUCCUGGUGAUAGCCGGUUUCUCGAAUAGAUACCCCACCUAGUUGUAGCUCUUUCUGAACUCCUGUAUCAAAGUUAUGAUUUCAAAUCCACUUUGUUCCAUAGAGACUAAAAUCCACUUGAUUUCAAAUCCGCAUUGCCAAACCAGCCUUUAUAGUUUGGAUCAAGAGAAUACUUUGGAAAUGAAUUCUGACUAUAUGGAAAUUGAGUUAGCCACUGUUAGUGAAAAAACAGCUGUGAAUUUGAUU